GAAGCAUAGUUCAGAAGGAAGGAAUUCAGCAUUGUAGAAGAAAAAGAGAAUUUUAUCUCCCUUGGCUUUCAUCACUAUUGUUAAAAGACCCCAAAUCCUACUGCAGCGGAUGGAGCCAGACACAGGCAAUUUAGAGAUUUCAGAGUUGAAGUCAGGAAAUAAAUGCAUAGAAGGGACUCUGCAAAGUCUCACUGGCUCAGAGCCCUAAUGAGUUCAUCAGCCAAGAUGGCUGGGAGCCUUAGGAAGGGCAGUCGUUUUGGGGUUUGCUCGUGAGACCCCUGGUUCCUCUGAAACGCGCCGGCUGCUGGCCGGCUUGCCCAGCAGCACUCUCUCCGUCAGCUUCCCAGGCAUCCUGACGUUUCAGUCUUGGACCCGAGCCUCUUUAGGACAGAGACAGGCCUGACUGUAACGAAUGGCUGCACCUCUGUGAAUGCACAGUGUGCACAUUGCUUCCACCGUGCCCUUUGUGCAGAGCUGUGCGGAGAUGCUGAUGAUUAAACCGUGAACCUGGCCUUGGGCUGAGGAGGCGGCGGCGCGAGCCUGCAAUGAGGUGUUCACUCUCAUUCAUAGCUGCUGCCGACUCUCGGAGCCUCUCGGCCCCCAGCAGCGUGACUCACGUCUUAUUAUUCCCUCCAGCCUGUGUAUGUCGACUUUAAAUCCUCCCGUCUGACGCCACGCCGCCAGGCUGCAGUCAAGGCAGCGAGCGGCCGAAGCGCCUCCCAGGAACACCUCUGCCUCCGUUGUCUGGAGAGGGGAACUUGGCUUCCAGCCGUUCGGCAGACACUGUUUCUUCCCUUCAUGUUACACAAAUCUUUCUUGUUACUUAUCUUCAUUCUAAUUAAGGGGAAAUUGCAAAUGCACUGUCUUGCAGAGAUGUCCGGAAAUCAGUUCUAAUCAUACAGGGUGAAAAAAACAAAACAAGAUCCUUGACCCAGUGUCCUCAAAGAGAUUACAGAGAGUGACUUAAAAGCCUCACAAAUAAAUGCUACAAUGGUGCUAGCGUGUGCUGGGGUUUGUGGCUGAUCCCGGUGACGUCAGUGUGGCAGUGCGGAGUCAGGCGGCGGCAGCUCGCUAUAAACCGAGGAGCUGUCCGGGUGCUGAAACGGCCCGAGCAGCUCACCCGGUGGACGGGGAUUAACAUGCUGUGGACCUUCUCUGCUGUAUAAAAAAGGGUAAGACUACUUUUUCUCUUCCGUUUACUGGAAAGUUCUAAAUUGUGUGUUCUACCCUUGAGUGCUAGCUGAGAAGAAAAAGACCACGUAGCAAGCUUAUAUAUCUACAGAGU